rnacentral:rRNA from 1 species
AUGAACGCUGGCGGCGUGCUUUACACAUGCAAGUUGAGCGAGGCGGGGAGCAAUCCCCAGUCGAGCGGCGAACGGGUGAGUAACGCGUGGAUAACCUGCCCUGAGGUGGGGAACAACCAGGGGAAACUCUGGCUAAUACCGCAUAACACCGAGAGGUCAAAGGGGGCUCGCAAGAGCUCCUGCCACAGGAGGGGUCCGCGUUCGAUUAGCUAGUUGGUAGGGUAAUGGCCUACCAAGGCGACGAUCGAUAGCCGGCCUGAGGGGGUGAUCGGCCACACUGGAACUGAGACACGGUCCAGACUCCUACGGGAGGCAGCAGUGGGGAAUUUUGCGCAAUGGGCUAACGCCUGACGCAGCAACGCCGCGUGGAGGAUGAAGGUCCUUGGAUCGUAAACUCCUGUCAGCAGGGAAAAAGGGAGGCGACCUAAUACGUCGCUGACUUGAUUGUACCUGCAGAGGAAGCCCCGGCUAACUCUGU